UAUUUUUAGCUCACCUGGCCCGAAGGGCCAAGUGAGCAUUUCUCAUCACUUGGCGUCCGUCGUCCGGCGUCGUCCGUCGUCGUCCGUCGUCGGCGUUAACUUUUUACAUUUUGAACUUCUUCUAGAGAACCACUGAAUGGAAUGAAACCAAACAUGGCAUGAAUGUUCCUUAUGAGGUGCUGACCAAGUGUUGUUACUUUGUAGCCGAUCCAUCAUCCAAGAUGGCCGCCAGCGGGGGACUUAGUUUAACAUAGGACCCUAUGGGAAAUGCAUACAAAUGACUUCUUUUAGAGAACCACUGAAUGGAAUGAAACCAAACAUGGCAGGAAUGUUCCUUAUGAGGUGCUCACCAAGUGUUGUUACUUUGUAGCCGAUCCAUCAUCCAAGAUGGCCGCCAGCGGGGGACUUAGUUUAACAUAGGACCCUAUGGGAAAUGCAUACAAAUGACUUCUUUUAGAGAACCACUGAAUGGAAUAAAACCAAACAUGGCAUGAAUGUUCCUUAUGAGGUGCUGACCAAGUGUUGUUACUUUGCAGUAGGUCCAUCAUCCAAGAUGGCCGACAGCAGGGGACUUAGUUUAACAAAGGACCUAUGGGAAAUACAUACAAAUGUCUUCUUUUAGAGAACCACUGAAUGGAAUGAAACCAAACAUGGCAUGAAUCUUCCUUAUGAGAUGCUGACCAAGUGUUGUUACUUUGUAGCCGAUCCAUCAUCCAAGAUGGCCGCCAGCGGGGGACUUAGUUUAACAUAGGACCCUAUGGGAAAUACAUACAAUUGUCUUCUUUUAGAGAACCACUGAAUGGAAUUGAACCAAACAUGGCAUGAAUGUUCCUUAUGAGUUGCAGACCAAGUGUUGUUACUUUGCAGUCGAUCCAUCAUCCAAGAUGGCCGCUAGGGGGGGGGGGCUUAGUUUAACAUAGGACCCUAUUGGAAAUACAUACAAAUGUCUUCUUUUGGAGUACCACUGAAUGGAAUGAAACCAAACAUGGCAUGAAUGUUCCUUCUGAAGUGCUGACCAAGUGUUGCUACUUUGUUGCCGAUUUACUGUUCAAGAUGGCCACCAGGAUAUUUUAUUGAAUAACGGGACCAAUAUUAAUCAAAAUUUGGCCUCAAUCAUUAUUUGGGUAUCUGUUAUGAUUUUUAUCUAUCUUUACAUGAUUUCUAAAACCAAAGUAGAGUCAGGUGAGCGACACAGGCUCUUGAGAGCCUCUAGUUUU